UGCUCUGAGGAUGUGGAGUGAAAUGAGUAAUUAUGAUGUCAUUCCUGACAUCGAACAUUACAUCACAAUAAUUAAAGGAUUGGCGGCGCAUGGAUGGCUUCCAAAAGCUAUGGAAUUUUAUGGUGAAAUGAAAUUGAAGGGAUUUGCAACUGAUCCUGAAUUGGAACAGCUCUUUAAGGGCUUUCUUUCGAAUAAGAAGAACCAUUGCAGCAGAGGUUGAGGGAUAUAACUCCAGGAAACAUGGAAGGAAGAGAAUUCCUAGAGGUUUGUUCGCUUAAGGAAGACUAGACCAAUCAUCUGAUGGCAAAGCCAUGCUUCGUAUAGUUCUGAUGGCUUUCUUUACAAGCGGGGAAAAAAUGUUCAAAUCUUUUGGAGAAGAAAUGAAAAUUUUGAACCAAGUAUUCUAGAGUUGCAUUUGUUUCGCCGUAGUAUUAGAUUGAGCACCUGAUAAUUGAAUUUGAUGAUAGAAACUCGAAAGCACGGCAUUGCAACAUCAGAUGCAAGCGCCUCAAUGCUCAGACCAGCAACGCUCGUGCACUAGGAAGUCGGCAUCGUCACAACAAUGCCUGAAUUCAAAAACCGAGAGCAUGCAACACAUCACAACUAUGUAAUGCCACAACUCCCACCAUAGUGUCGUGACGCUAUCUAUAAUCAUGGAGUUCAGUUUGGACGGUUUUAGUGACAGUUUGGCCUGAAUUUUUAUAUAAGGAGAGGCUUUUGAAGACUGCAGAAGCCCUCUUCAGUCUUCUUUUUAGUCAGUCUCUUAUUUCUAAGAGUGUUGUGAGUAUGUUGCACUUUUAUCGAGUGAUAUUUGAGAAGGAAGCAUUAGGAGUGGCACUUUGAAAGAAGGUUUCUCUUGGAGCAAGGAUACUUUCUUUGAUUUUUCUACUAUUCUCUUUAAUUUGUUAACUUAUAUUUUUAAUUAAGAUAUA